GACUCUGUUAAGAGGGGGGAAAGGUGAGAAAAAAAGAGCUGUUUCUUUCUUGCUUACUUUUUUCUCCUCUGGGGAAUGCACAGCACUUGGGCUCCAAAGCUGUGUUUUUCUUUAGGUUUUGCCUUUUAAUAGGGGUUGAAGAAAGUGGUUAUAGACAUUUGAGGGGAAAUAAAGCCUGUGGUUUAUUAACAGGGCUGGUUUUAAUCAGCAGUGAUUUGACGAGGGUAACAUUGGGGCUGCGAGUGAGAUAACUGAUACUAUGAUUUUCAAUGCUUUUAACCCCAAACUGAAGUCUUGUGGAUUCUCUGACAGAAAUGCGUUUGUUUCCUGGGCCAGGCAGUGGCCAGAGUGUUUGUGAGGAUAGCAUGGGCUGAGGAGAAGAGGGGCGGGGGCUGGGACAGCUGCAGCAGGGACUUCUCUCAGCUGAAAUUCCAGCUGCUAGGAGGCCAGCUCUGCAGACUGGGGCCUCCUUAGACACAGCGUGAAGAGGAGCAAUGCAAGGCAAGCUAUGGCCCUCAUUUGGCCCCUGCAAGUCGGGAUCCAGAUGGACGAGUGCUCGCAAGCCUGUCCUGCAGAACUGAGAGGAGAUCUCAGGUCAGGACAUCUUACACUCUGCAGACACGGGUCACGUUGCUGGGUUACAACAGCUGCUGUAUCUGGGAAAUGCUGAGUCUACAUCACCAGCUCUUUCUGGAGACCCCCAGUAUCUCUAAGAGAUGGAGCUAUGGAAGUCACCUCUUGCUCUGCAUGGCUGAGAAAUGAACACCCAACUCCACAGCUAUAAAGUCCUUUCCUCAGAACAUGAAAUCAUAGUACGGACUCAUGGAGAUGGAUUUGUUAGAGAUGGGUCCUUUUAAUGACGCUAUUCUGGAGCAGUAGGCAUUAAACAUGG
rnacentral:lncRNA from 1 species